rnacentral:rRNA from 1 species
UCUUACGGAGGCAGCAGUGGGGGAUAUUUGGCAAUGGGCCGAAGCCUGACGCAGCGACGCGCGUGGGGGAUGACGGCUUCGGGUUGUUAAACUCUUUCAGCAGGGACGAAGCGCAAGUGACGUACUGCAGAAGAAGCACCGGCCAACUACGUGCCAGCAGCCGCGGUAAUACGUAGGGUGCAAGCGUUGUCCGGAAUUAUUGGGCGUAAAGAGCUCGUAGGCGGUUUGUUGCGUCGGCUGUGAAAUCCCGAGGCUCAACCUCGGGUCUGCAGUCGAUACGAGCAAACUAGAGUGUUGCAGGGGAGACUGGAAUUCCUGGUGUAGCGGUGAAAUGCGCAGAUAUCAGGAGGAACACCGGUGGCGAAGGCGGGUCUCUGGGCAGCAACUGACGCUGAGGAGCGAAAGCGUGGGGAGCGAACAGGAUUAGAUACCCUGGUAGUCCACGCCGUAAACGUUGGGCGCUAGGUGUGGGGCUCAUUCCACGAGUUCCGUGCCGCAGCUAACGCAUUAAGCGCCCCGCCUGGGGAGUACGGCCGCAAGGCUAAAACUCAAAGGAAUUGACGGGGGCCCGCACAAGCGGCGGAGCAUGUUGCUUAAUUCGAUGCAACGCGAAGAACCUUACCUAGGCUUGACAUGCACGGAAAUCUCCCAGAGAUGGGGGGUCCGUAAGGGCCGUGCACAGGUGGUGCAUGGUUGUCGUCAGCUCGUGUCGUGAGAUGUUGGGUUAAGUCCCGCAACGAGCGCAACCCUCGUCCUAUGUUGCCAGCACAUGGUGGGGACUCAUAGGAGACUGCCGGGGUCAACUCGGAGGAAGAUGGGGAUGACGUCAAAUCAUCAUGCCCCUUAUGUCUAGGGCUGCAAACAUGCUACAAUGGCCGGUACAAAGGGCUGCGAUACCGCGAGGUGGAGCGAAUCCCAAAAAGCCGGUCUCAGUUCGGAUUGGGGUCUGCAACUCGACCCCAUGAAGUUGGAGUCGCUAGUAAUCGCAGAUCAGCAACGCCGCGGUGAAUACGUUCCCGGG